GACGAACGCUGGCGGCGUGCUUAACACAUGCAAGUCGAACGGAAAGGCCCUUCGGGGUACUCGAGUGGCGAACGGGUGAGUAACACGUGGGUGAUCUGCCCUGCACUUUGGGAUAAGCCUGGGAAACUGGGUCUAAUACCGAAUAUGAUCAUCGGCUUCAUGGUCGGUGGUGGAAAGCUUUUGCGGUGUGGGAUGGGCCCGCGGCCUAUCAGCUUGUUGGUGGGGUAAUGGCCUACCAAGGCGACGACGGGUAGCCGGCCUGAGAGGGUGACCGGCCACACUGGGACUGAGAUACGGCCCAGACUACUACGGGAGGCAGCAGUGGGGAAUAUUGCACAAUGGGCGCAAGCCUGAUGCAGCGACGCCGCGUGAGGGAUGACGGCCUUCGGGUUGUAAACCUCUUUCAGCACAGACGAAGCGCAAGUGACGGUAUGUGCAGAAGAAGGACCGGCCAACUACGUG
rnacentral:rRNA from 1 species